rnacentral:rRNA from 1 species
UACAGAGGGUGCAAGCGUUGUUCGGAAUUACUGGGCGUAAAGGGCGCGUAGGCGGCCUGCUAAGUCACACGUGAAAUCCCUCGGCUCAACCGGGGAACUGCGUGUGAUACUGGCGGGCUUGAAUUCGGGAGAGGGAUGUGGAAUUCCAGGUGUAGCGGUGAAAUGCGUAGAGAUCUGGAGGAACACCGAUGGCGAAGGCAGCCUUCUGGGCCAACACUGACGCUCAUGCACGAAAGCGUGGGGAGCAAACAGG